rnacentral:rRNA from 1 species
GACGAACGCUGGCGGCGUGCUUAACACGUGCAAGUCGAACGGAAAGGCCCUGCUUUUGUGGGGUGCUCGAGCGGCGAACGGGUGAGUAACACGUGAGUAACCUGCCCUUGACUUUGGGAUAACUUCAGGAAACUGGGGCUAAUACCGGAUAGGAGCUCCUGCUGCAUGGUGGGGGUUGGAAAGUUUCGGCGGUUGGGGAUGGACUCGCGGCUUAUCAGCUUGUUGGUGGGGUAGUGGCUUACCAAGGCUUUGACGGGUAGCCGGCCUGAGAGGGUGACCGGCCACAUUGGGACUGAGAUACGGCCCAGACUCCUACGGGAGGCAGCAGUGGGGAAUAUUGCACAAUGGGCGGAAGCCUGAUGCAGCAACGCCGCGUGCGGGAUGACGGCCUUCGGGUUGUAAACCGCUUUCGCCUGUGACGAAGCGUGAGUGACGGUAAUGGGUAAAGAAGCACCGGCUAACUACGUG